rnacentral:piRNA from 1 species
UGGUUUUUAGGAUGUUAUACUGAGACUGGG